AAACAUGUCUUUUUGAAAAAUAUUUAAAGUCUAAUCUGCCCCCUGAUNAAAUUAUUAAAGGGCUGCAGUAUUUUGACUGUACAAAGGUAGCAUAAUCAUUAGUCUCUUAAUUGGUGACUUGUAUGAAAGAUUGGAUGAGAUAUAUACUGUCUCUAUUUAAUUUAUAAAAUUUAAUUUUUUAGUAAAAAAGCUAAAAUUAUUUUAAAAGACGAGAAGACCCUAUAGAGUUUUAUAAUUUAUUUAAUUAUUAUUAAUAUGUAAAUUUUAAAAUUAAAAUUAAAUAAAUUAUUUUGUUGGGGUGAUAGAAAAAUUAAAUUAACUUUUUUUUUAUUGUAUACAUUAAUUUAUGAGUAAAUGAUCCAUUAAUAAUGAUUAAAAGAAAAAAUUACCUUAGGGAUAACAGCGUAAUUUUUUUUUUUAGUUCAAAUAGGAAAAAAAGUUUGCGACCUCGAUGUUGGAUUAAGAUAAAAUUUAAAUGCAAAAG
rnacentral:rRNA from 1 species